rnacentral:lncRNA from 1 species
CCUAGCUCAAAUAGAAAUGUGAUCAUUUGGGUGAGAAUAUUUUCGUCCGUUGUCUGAAGAUCGUGUCUGAACAGAGCACGGGAAAGAGGAAGCCAGCUGUCAUUUCAACAGGCGUCUUCCAAGAGGAGUGCAGUGCAAUGCUUCCUGAAAGAAGGCUGGCUGACACAGAAGGAAAAUUGCAUGGGCUGUCAAAGAGGGUACAACAUGAAUAUGUGACGUUGGAUGAUGUCAAACAUGCUGCACUGCUUUUGAAAGAAGCAAAUGAGUCACAUCCCAUGCUAUCAUUUGCAGCAGUUUCAAGGAAUGAGAUAAUAGACGAGUUCCUCAUGGCCCUGCUCUUCUACCUAUCUUUUUACCUCGAAAAGCUCGCCCUGGAAAAGAAACACAGAUCCUUGAUUUCGUGAGUACAAGUCUUUAGGGGUAUAAGUGCACAGAGCUUGCCCGAGCAAAUCUGGAAUCAGUCACCAAAUAAUUUGGCUUCUCAAGGUAAUGCUGCAAUUUGAAUAAAUCGUUACUGCUACCACCA